rnacentral:rRNA from 1 species
UUAAGUGAACAAGGGCAUACGGCGGAUGCCUUGGCGCCAAGAGCCGAUGAAGGACGCGGUAAGCUGCGAAAAGGCAUGGGUAGGAGCAAGCAUCCAGUGAUCCAUGCAUAUCCGAAUGGGGCAACCCACCAUCAGUCAUGUGAUGGUACGAAAGAGGCAGACCUGGGGAACUGAAACAUCUAAGUACCCAGAGGAAAAGUAAUCAAUUGAGAUUCCCUAAGUAGCGGCGAGCGAAAGGGGAAGAGCCCAAACCAUGAAACUUCGGUUUUGUGGGGUUGAGGACCGGCAAAAAGAGGAAACUUCUUAGUCGAAUGGUUUGGAAAGGCCAUGCACAGAAGGUAAAACACCUGUAGGCGAAAAGAAGUCAAUCGGGCUGGUAUCCAGAGUACUGCGAGACACGUGAAACCUUGCAGGAAGCAGGGGGGACCACCCUCCAAGGCAAAAUACUACUUGGCGACCGAUAGCGCAUAGUACCGUGAGGGAAAGGUGAAAAGAACCCCGGGAGGGGAGUGAAAUAGAACCUGAAACCGUAUGUCUACAAGCAGUCGAAGCACCUUAAGAGUGCGACGGCGUGCCUAUUGAAGAAUGAACCGGCGAGUUACAUUAUGUUGCGAGGUUAAGUGGGAGACACGGAGCCGAAGCGAAAGCGAGUCUUAAUAGGGCGACUAGUAACAUGGUGUAGACCCGAAACCGCAGUGAUCUAUCCAUGGUCAGGUUGAAGCGCAGGUAAAAAUGCGUGGAGGACCGAACCCGUGAGUGUUGAAAAACUUUGGGAUGAACCGUGGAUAGGGGUGAAAUGCCAAUCGAACGCGGAGAUAGCUGGUACUCCCCGAAAUAGCUUUAGGGCUAGCCUCAGGGAAGAUUAUAGACGGUAGAGCACUGAUCUGGCAAGGGGGCGUAAAGCCUACCGACCCUAGUCAAACUUCGAAUGGCUAUAAUUAAGACCCUGGGAGUCAGACUGCGAGUGAUAAGACCCGUAGUCAAGAGGGAAACAGCCCAGACCGCCGACUAAGGUCCCCAAUGCUGUACUAAGUGGAAAAGGAUGUAAGACUUCAUAAACAACCAGGAUGUUGGCUUAGAAGCAGCCACCAUUAAAAGAGUGCGUAAUAGCUCACUGGUCGAGAGGCCUUGCGCCGAAGAUGUCCGGGGCUCAAGUACAGAACCGAAGUCGCGGCAGGAUUAUAUAAUUCUGGGUAGGGGAGCGUUGUAUAUCCGACUGAAGGUGUACCGGAAGGAGCGCUGGAGGAUAUACAAGAGAGAAUGCCGGUAUGAGUAGCGAAAAGAACAGUGAGAAUCUGUUCCACCGAAAGCCUAAGGUUUCCUGAGCAACGCUCGUCGACUCAGGGUAAGUCGGGACCUAAGCCGAGGCAAAAAGCAUAGGCGAUGGACAACAGGUUAAUAUUCCUGUACCGCUUCAAAUCGUUUGAGCAAUGGAGUGACACAGAAGGUAGCUUGAGCACGCGAAUGGAUGUGCGUGUCGAAGGUGGUAGGUUGCAGUAUAGGUAAAUCCGUACUGUAUAAGACCGAGAACUGAUAGAUAGACGAUACUUCGGUAAAGUCAAAUUCAAGUGAGCCAUGCUGUCGAGAAAAGCUUCUAGUGAGAGAUGAGGCGCCCGUACCGAAACCGACACAGGUAGGCGGGGAGAGAAUCCUAAGGUGCGCGGGACAACCCUCGUUAAGGAACUCGGCAAAUUGUAUCCGUAACUUAGGGAUAAGGAUAGCCGGAGGAUGUGAAGGGAUUUACUUCUGGAGCGUCAGCCGGUGGCACAAGAGAGGCCCAAGCGACUGUUUAGCACAAACACAGGUGCCUGCAAAAGAGAAAUCUGACGUAUAGGUGCUGACACCUGCCCGGUGCUGGAAGGUUAAGAGGAGGGCUUAGAGGAAACUCGAAGGCUUGAAUUGAAGCCCCAGUAAACGGCGGCCGUAACUAUAACGGUCCUAAGGUAGCGAAAUUCCUUGUC